GUGAGUCAUCGAAUCUUUGAACGCACCUUGCGCUCCUUGGUAUUCCGAGGAGCAUGCCUGUUUGAGUGUCAUUAAUAUAUCAACCUUCUCUUGUUUGAGUGGUUUGGAUGUGGGGGUUUGCUGGCCUCUUAAAGGGUUCAGCUCCCCUUAAAUGCAUUAGCAGAACAAACCUGUUCAUUGGUGUGAUAAACUAUCUACGCUAUUGAAUGUGAGGGGACAGUUCAGCUUUCUAACAGUCUUUGGACAAAAAUUUAUCAUCAUUAAUGUGACCUCAAAUCAGGUAGGACUACCCGCUGAACUUAAGCAUAUCAAUAAGCGGAGG
rnacentral:rRNA from 2 species